GGUUUUUUGAUUAAUAAUUUUAAAUCAGGUCUGCUCAAUGAAAUAUUUAAAUGGCUGCAGUAUAUUAACUGUGCUAAGGUAGCAUAAUAAUUAGUUUAUUAAUUGUAAACUGGAAUGAAUGAUUUAAUAAAAUAAAUACUUUUUUAAUUUAAUUUAUUUAACUUAAUAAGUUAGUAAAAAUGCUGACAUGAUAUAGAAAGACGAUAAGACCCUAUAAAAUUUUAUAAAAUAUAAUAGAUAAUUAAAUAUUAUAUACAUAAUUAUUUAAUUUUUUAUUUAAUUGGGGUGAUUUUAUUAUUUAAUAAAUUAAUAAUUUUAAUAUACAUUAAAUUAUGAAUUAAUGAUCCAAAAUUUUUGAUUAACUGAUUAAAUUACUUUAGGGAUAACAGCGUAAUGACUUAUUUAAGUUCUUAUAAAUUAAGUUUUUUGCGACCUCGAUGUUGAAUUAAGAUUAAUUUUAAAAGUAAAGUAUUAAAAUUUUAGUCUGUUCGACUAUAAAUUCUUACAU
rnacentral:rRNA from 1 species